GUGUAUAAUACCGGCCACACUUGAUUUUCAACUGGAAAGAGAAACGACCGAUGGAGGUAUCAGGCAAAUAGGGUGCAUUUCUGGGCAUGUGCAGACGACAUUCAUGUUGCUUCGCCUGUUUAAGAUGUUGUCAUUUUCAUCUCCAUCAUUCGGGUCACUUGAAGAGAACAGAAAUAUCGGGUCAUGUUCAGUUACCAGCAUUCCGGACUCGCAGGGAGGUAGCUAAUGUUCCUUUUAAAUGUAGCUAAUGUUAAGGAGAACAAUGGUUCCCAGGGGCACAAGUGAAAUGACACUGCCGGGAAGGCAGGUGCACCAACCGUGGCUUCACGGAAUUGAACAAUCCCCGGCAUGAGCUGAUCCAUGGAGGUUGGCUCUCAUGUCUCAUCGGCACCAUAGCGACUUUGUGAGUGGCAAUUAAUUGAUAAGAGUACGUGUGCUAGAA